rnacentral:rRNA from 1 species
AACGAACGCUGGCGGCAGGCUUAACACAUGCAAGUCGAACGCCCCGCAAGGGGAGUGGCAGACGGGUGAGUAACGCGUGGGAACGUGCCCUUCGCUUCGGAAUAGCCCCGGGAAACUGGGAGUAAUACCGAAUACGCCGUAUUGGGAAAGAUUUAUCGGCGAAGGAUCGGCCCGCGUUAGAUUAGCUAGUUGGCGGUGUAAUGGACCACCAAGGCUACGAUCUAUAGCUGGUCUGAGAGGAUGAUCAGCCACACUGGGACUGAGACACGGCCCAGACUCCUACGGGAGGCAGCAGUGGGGAAUAUUGGACAAUGGGCGCAAGCCUGAUCCAGCCAUGCCGCGUGAGUGAAGAAGGCCUUAGGGUUGAAAAACUCUUUCGCCGGAGAAGAUAAUGACGGUAUCCGGAGAAGAAGCCCCGGCUAACUUCGUGCCAGCCGCCGCGGUAACAC